rnacentral:rRNA from 1 species
GGCCACUGCUAUUAGGGUUCGGCUAAGCCAUGCGAGUGGUGGGCGUCCCGCAAGGGAUGGCCCCGCACACGGCUCAGUAACACGUAGUCAACCUGCCCUCGGGACGGGGACAACGCCGGGAAACUGGCGAUAAUCCCCGAUAGGUGAGGGACGCUGGAAUGCCCCCUCGCCCAAAGCUCCGGCGCCCGAGGAUGGGACUGCGGCCUAUCAGGCUGUUGGUGGUGUAAUGGACCACCAAACCUGCAACGGGUACGGGCGAUGGGAGUCGGAGCCCGGAGAUGGGGACUGAGACAAGGCCCCAGGCCCUACGGGGCGCAGCAGGCGCGAAAACUCCGCAAUGCGCGAAAGCGUGACGGGGGAACCCUAAGUGCCGUUGGCUUUUGAUCGACGGCUUUUCGGGAGUCUAAGAAGCUCCCGGAAUAAGGGCUGGGCAAGCCUGGUGCCAGCCGCCGCGGUAACACCAGCAGCCCAAGUGGUGGUCGCGAUAUUGGGCCUAAAGCGCUCGUAGCCGGGCUGGCAAGUCCCUUGUGAAAUCGGGCGGCCUAACCGUUCGGCUUGCAAGGGAUACUGUUGGUCUUGAGGCCGGGAGACGUCUGAGGUACUUUGGGGGUAGCGGUGAAAUGCUGUAAUCCUCGGGGGACCACCAGUGGCGAAGGCGUCAGACGAGAACGGACCUGACGGUGAGGGGCGAAGGCUAGGGGCGCGAACGGGAUUAGAUACCCCGGUAGUCCUAGCUGUAAAGCAUGCGGGCCAGGUGUCUGGUGUUCCUCGAGAGCACUAGGUGCCGGAGGGAAGCCGUUAAGCCCGCCGCCUGGGAAGUACGGCCGCAAGGCUGAAACUUAAAGAAAUCGGCGGGGGAGCACCACAAGGGGUGGAACCUGCGGUUCA